UACAGAGGCCUCGAGCGUUAGGCGGAAUCACUGGGCUUAAAGCGUGUGUAGGCGGACCCCUAAGUACCUUGUGAAAUCCCACGGCUCAACCGUGGAACUGCUGGGUAUACUGGUUGUCUUGAGCCAGCUAGGGGCGAGCGGAACAGACGGUGGAGCGGUGAAAUGCGUAGAUAUCGUCUGGAACGCCGAAGGUGAAAACAGCUCGCUGGGGCUGCGCUGACGCUGAGACACGAAAGCCAGGGGAGCGAGCGGG
rnacentral:rRNA from 1 species